rnacentral:rRNA from 1 species
CCUACGGGAGGCAGCAGUGGGGAAUAUUGGACAAUGGGCGCAAGCCUGAUCCAGCAAUGCCGCGUGAGUGAUGAAGGCCUUCGGGUUGUAAAGCUCUGUCGGGAGGGACGAAAAAGCAGGGGUAAUGGCCUGUAUUGACGGUACCUCCAAAGGAAGCACCGGCUAACUCUGUGCCAGCAGCCGCGGUAAUACAGAGGGUGCAAGCGUUGUUCGGAAUUACUGGGCGUAAAGCGCGUGUAGGCGGCUUCGUUAGUCGGAUGUGAAAGCCCUCGGCUCAACCGAGGAAGUGCAUCCGAUACUGCGAUGCUUGAGUGUUGGAGGGGGUGGCGGAAUUCCCGGUGUAGAGGUGAAAUUCGUAGAUAUCGGGAGGAACACCUGUGGCGAAGGCGGCCACCUGGACAACAACUGACGCUGAGACGCGAAAGCGUGGGUAGCAAACAGGAUUAGAUACCCUGGUAGUCCACGCUGUAAACGAUGAGUGCUAGACGUCACGGGUAUUGACCCCUGUGGUGUCGAAGUUAACACGUUAAGCACUCCGCCGUCGGGAGGUACGGUCGCGAGAAGUUAAAACUUAAAUUAGAAGUUAGUACGGCGUGAGACGUGCCGACGGACGACGACGAGGGAGGAGG